rnacentral:sRNA from 1 species
AGCUUCGACCAAGGUUCGACUUGAGCACCAGCGAGAGAGCGUUGCCGCAGGCAACGACCCGAAGGGCGAAGCGCGCAGCGCUGAGUAAUCCUUCCCCCACCACCA